GUGCCUUCCACAUAAAAAAAUGUUGCUGCAUUUCUUUGGCAGGAACAAGGAUGAACCAGUGUAAAGGUGCUUGUGUGUAGGCUGUUGGAGAUUCAGUGUCUGAAGAAAGUGGUACCUGUGUUAAGCGUGUUUGUGUUAGGGCUUUUAACACAGUACCUAUGGCAGCAAAAAAAUAGAUUCCUCAUGUGACAUGGCCGACAGUAUGUCCAGGAACAUGGCAGCCAUGAUGAAGGGACAACUCUGAGGAGCCUAAAAAUGAACAAGAAGACAUAGUGUCAGGGAGAUGUUCUCAGUGAGGCAGAAUUCACCUCCCUCAGUUCCACCAAAGGUUAAGGGCCUUGCCACAGCUGAUUUCCUGAUUUCUAAUUGUGUGUUGCACUGCCCAGAUUAAGUUUUCUUUUUACAGUACUUCCAAAAUGUGACUCCUCUCAGCACAUUUUGCCUGAGAUUAUUUUCAUCCUCUACCUUCUGGUAUGAGGGAAAACUGAGGUGUGGACUGAUGAAAUGGUUUGUACAGUGCUGCCCAGCAAAUCAGUGUUGCAGCUGACUCAGAAUUAUUGAUGCUUGACUGUGACUUCAUGAUCAUUAAUACUGAAUCUGUGCCUCACAGCUACGGUUUCAAUUGGGCAUAAAUACAAACCUUUGUGUCAAGCUAGCUGGGUAUAAGCAUGGUAUAUAGCGCUUAUAUCCUGUCACAGAACAGGCUUCCUAGAGAGUCUGUCAAAGCCCCAAGAUCAUCAGUGUUUAAGAGGCAUUUGGACAAUGCCCUUAAUAUUAUUUAACUUUUGGUCAGCCUAGAAUUGGUCAGAGGGUUGGACUAGAUGAUUGUUGUAGGUCCUUUCCGACUGAAAUAUUCAAUGAUUCUAUUCUAUUCCAUUCUAUUCUGUGGACACUGACCUUCUGUGGGGAGGCUUGAAAAAGUCUCUACCUUUCAGCCCAAGAGCAGCUGAGGCAAAGAUGCCCUUGCAAAGUGCUUGGCCGCUUUUGAAAAAAAAAAAACCAACAACUGAAUUCUGUGCCAUGUUCUGGGUUAUGUGGCUAUGGAAAUCCUGACCUUGCAUCAGGUCCUGCAAAACUGCAAUUUGCCACCCUAUGAAAGCAUGACUUUCAACUCCUGUAACCACUGCUGAACUUCCCAUCUCACUAAUACCCAUCUGCGCUUUUUUUUUUUUUCCCCCAAUACUGUAUAAACUUUGCUUUUCAUCUGUUCCUGUGAGGUAGGGAAAUGGAAUGAUACUUUCAUUUGACAGUUCAGGAAAAGGAGAAAGUGGCUAAAUAAGAGCUCCCUGCCGGUGUGGCAGCUGCUGUCCGGAGUCCCCAGAAAACCCAUCAGUGAUACUCACCCACAGCUAAGUGGAGCUGCAAUACAGCUAUGAAGAGUCCCAAGGCAGACAAGACUAAUACAUCCAAGAAAAACAAGUAACACAAAGCAUCAGUCCCUAUGGAUAUAUGGUGUACAAUUCCAAAGCAUAGGUGUCAUUAGCAGCUACUACACCCAAACAGAGAGGACUGCAGACUCUGAAGUAGGCACAGCAGCUGAGAUUAGUGUGUGUACACAUAAAUUGUCCAUCAACCCUGCUCAUUUCCACCUCUGAAGGAUCUGCCUCUCUGGUCUGGGUGACAGUGACAGGCUGGCUGACACAAUCAGCCAUGCAAUGUGUUUUCCUCUUCAUGAUAUCAUGCACUGGGCACAACUGGGAGAGAGAGAGAGCACAGCUCAGUUUGGUCCAGAUGCAGAAGUGAGGGAGGGAACCUGUCGUGGGGCCAGUGACUCUCCAGAUGUGUGCUCCUCUGCUCUGCCUGCCUGCUCUCUUCCCUGACCUCCAGCUCAACGGAAACUUCUGGAAACAUCUUUUGUGGCUCCAAGGGAUAGGACAGUAUGGUGGGAGUUUUACUCCCCAUUUUCUUUCCAGAGUUAACCCAUUCACCUGAAAACUAUUUCAAUGAAGCUAAUAAACUAGAUGAAGAGGAUAAAAAAAAAUAACCUCUUCCUCCUCUGCUCUCCAUCUCCUCUGAUAUUUUCAGUAUCUUGUUAAAUUUAACAGCUUACAAAUUCACAUAGAAGUGGAAAAUAUCUUUGUUUGUAGCAAGCAUUUUAACCCAUAUUGAUGUAACUAUCACUUCUGUAAAUCUGGGUAAAGUUUGUUAUUUCAACCCACUUGUACAGACUUCAAAAUCUUUUCUGCUAGUCCAUAAUCUGCUUUCUAAACCCCUGAGAAGUUUAUUAGAGUCCAUCAAAGGAAUGGAAUAAACUCUAGAACACUUGAAGUCCA